rnacentral:rRNA from 1 species
CCUACGGGAGGCAGCAGUGGGGAAUAUUGGGCAAUGGACGCAAGUCUGACCCAGCAACGCAGCGUGAAGGAAGAAGGCUCUCGGGUUGUAAACUUCUUUUAAGGGGGAAGAGAAGAAGACGGUACCCCUUGAAUAAGCCACGGCUAACUACGUGCCAGCAGCCGCGGUAAUACGUAGGUGGCAAGCGUUGUCCGGAUUUACUGGGUGUAAAGGGCGUGAAGCCGGGAGUACAAGGCAGAUGUGAAAUCCCGCGGCUCAACCGCGGAACUGCAUUUGAAACUGUGUUUCUUGAGUAUCGUAGAGGUAAUCGGAAUUCCUAGUGUAGCGGUGAAAGGCGUAGAUAUUAGGAAGAACACCAGUGGCGAAGGCAGAUUACUGGACGACAACUGACGGUGAGGCGCGAAAGCGUGGGGAGCAAACAGGAUUAGAUACCCUUGUAGUC